UACGUAGGGGGCUAGCGUUGUCCGGAAUUAUUGGGCGUAAAGAGCUCGUAGGCGGUCUGUUGCGUCGGCUGUGAAAACCCGGGGCUCAACUCCGGGCCUGCAGCCGAUACGGGCAGACUAGAGUUCGGCAGGGGAGACUGGAAUUCCUGGUGUAGCGGUGAAAUGCGCAGAUAUCAGGAGGAACACCGGUGGCGAAGGCGGGUCUCUGGGCAGUAACUGACGCUGAGGAGCGAAAGCGUGGGGAGCGAACAGG
rnacentral:rRNA from 1 species